UACGUAGGGUGCGAGCGUUAAUCGGAAUUACUGGGCGUAAAGCGUGCGCAGGCGGUUAUGCAAGACAGAGGUGAAAUCCCCGGGCUCAACCUGGGAACUGCCUUUGUGACUGCAUGACUAGAGUACGGCAGAGGGGGAUGGAAUUCCGCGUGUAGCAGUGAAAUGCGUAGAUAUGCGGAGGAACACCGAUGGCGAAGGCAAUCCCCUGGGCCUGUACUGACGCUCAUGCACGAAAGCGUGGGGAGCAAACAGG
rnacentral:rRNA from 1 species